GCUCGCCGCAGCGAUGACACCCCCCCCUCCCCCCGUGCACGGCCCCCCCGGGGUCACCGACGUCCCCCCACCCGCGGGGUCACCGGUGGGGUCCCGCCCUCCUCUCCCUCGCACGCCCCCCUGCGCACACGCCCCGGCCUCGUGCACCCAUGGGUGUGCACUGUGCUGCGCGCACCUGGCACCCCGCGUGCCUCCCUUCCUUGCACACCCGGUGCACACUCCUGCCUUGCACACCCACGUGCAAGCACGGCCCUCCCUCGCACAGCCCUGUGCACGCUCCUCCCUUGCACGCCCACGUGCAUGCACGGCCCUCUCUUGCACGGGUCUCUGCACACUCCUGCCUUGCACACCCACGUGCAUGCACAAUCCUCCCUUGCACGGCCCUGUGCACACUCCUCCCUUGCACACCCAUGUGCAUGCACAAUCCUCCCUUGCAUGGCCCUGUGCACACUCCUCCCUUGCAUGCCAUGUGCAUGCACAACCCUCCCUCACACGGCCCUGUGCACACUCCUCCCUUGCACACCCACGUGCAUGCACAGCCCUCUCUUGCACGGGUCUCUGCACACCUCUUCCCAGGCUGGCCAUGCACGCCCCUGCCUUGCACACCCGCAUGCACACAUUUCCCUUGCACAUCCUGGUGCACACGCUGUCCUCCCUUGCACGCCCACGUGCAUGCACGGCCCUGUGCACAUCCCUCCCUUGCACACCCAUGUGCAAGCACAGCCCUCCCUUGCACGGCCCUGUGCACACUCCUACCUUGCACACCUGCGUGCAUGCACAGCCCUCCUUCGCACAGCCCUGCGCACACCCCUCCUUGCACACCCGCGUGCACACACAGCCCUGUGCACACCCCUCCCUUGCACACCCAUGUGCAUGCACAGCCCUCCCUUGCACAUCCUCGCACAGCCCUGUGCACACCCCUCCCUUGCACACCCACGUGCACACACGGCCCUCGCACGUCCCCCCCUGCCCACCCCGUGCCCGCCCGCAGCACGUCCCCCGCCGGGCGCUGCACCCGCGGGUGCCACCUCAACACGCCCGGGGGGCCCCGGGGUCCCCAGCCCAGCCGGGGGACGGGGACGUGGGGACACGGGGACACGGGGACGCCGGGAGGCCGCCUGGGCCGGUCGGGCAGGGAGGGAUCCGGCCGGACCGGCUCGGCGCCCACAGCCCGGCCUCACCCGCCGGCCGCUCCGGGUGCUCCGGGCGCCCCAGGGUGCCGGGACGGGGAAGGUGCCACCCGGCGCCGGCGUCCCCGCGUCCCUUCCUGGGGGGCUUGAGGGCGCCUGGUCCCAUCACCGUCACUGUCCCCGGGGCCAGGCGGGUGCCAGCACCCAGCUUCAGCCGCGUGGCUGGGCCGGGCCACGCCAGGGGACGAGGAAGGGGACAUGGCCACCGGGGGGACAGGGCCACCAUGCAGAUGGGGACACAGCCACAAGAGGGACACGGCCACCGCAGGGACAUGGCCAUGGCCACCACGGGGACAUGGACACAGCCACCACGGGGAUGGGGACAUGGACAGAACCACCAUGGGGACAGGGCCACCACAGUGAUGGGGACAUGGCCACAGCCACUGCAGGGACAUUGGUCACCAUGGGGAUGGGGACACGACCACUGCAGGGACAUGGCCACUGCUGGGUUGGGGACACGGCCACCACGGGAACAUGGCCACCGCAGGGAUGAAGAUACGGCCACCACAGGGGCAGGGCCACCAUAGGGACAGGGCCACAGCCACCAUGGGGAAGAGGACACUGCCACCAUGGGGACAUGGCCACCAUGGGAAUGGGGACAUGGCCAGCGCAGGGACAGGGCCACAGCCACCACAGGGAUGGGGAUAUGGCCACCACAGGGACAUGGCCACUGCAGGGACAC
ensembl:lncRNA